rnacentral:rRNA from 1 species
UGGAGUAUGUGGUUUAAUUCGACGCAACGCGAAGAACCUUACCGAGACUUGACAUUGAGUGAAAAUCCUAGAGAUAGGACUUCUCUUUCGAGAGCACAAAAACAGGUGGUGCAUGGUUGUCGUCAGCUCGUGUCGUGAGAUGUUGGGUUAAGUCCCGCAACGAGCGCAACCCUUAUCCUAUGUUACCAGCAAGUAAAGUUGGGGACUCAUGGGAGACUGCCAGGGACAACCUGGAGGAAGGCGGGGAUGACGUCAAAUCAUCAUGCCCCUUAUGUCUCGGGCUACACACGUACUACAAUGGUCGGCAACAAAGGGCAGCAAUACCGCGAGGUGGAGCAAAUCCCAUAAACCCGACCCCAGUUCGGAUUGCAGGCUGCAACUCGCCUGCAUGAAGUUGGAAUCGCUAGUAAUCGCAGGUCAGCGUACUGCGGUGAAUACGUUCCCGGGCCUUGUACACACCGCCCGUCACACCACGAAAGUUGAUAACACCCAAAGCCAGUGAGGUAACCUUUUCGGAGGAGCCAGCUGUCUAAGGUGGGAUUGAUGAUUGGGGUGAAGUCGUAACAAGGUAACC